rnacentral:tRNA from 1 species
AAGAAGGUGGCAGAGUGGUCAUGCGGUUAACUUGAAAUUAACCUAUGUGGGUUCAAUUCCCCCCUUUCUUG